GCCUUGGUGGUGUAGUGGUAGUACGCGUCCCUGCUAAGGACUGAUCGAAGGUUCAACUCUCGCCUAUGAUC